AAUUCCGCCCGAUUCCCAUAUUUUCGUGUGCUACCUAGCCCACACCUUCCGAGUGGGUCCGGGUCCCCCGGACCUUGAUCGCCUAAAAUUUAUUUUGGCCAUCAAAUAUGACCGAAAGAUCCAUAGUCACCGCCCCGCCAUGACCGUUCCUCGUUGUUUUGUUUUUUAUGACCAAAAAACUAGAAUUUCCCCCGAUUACCAUAUUUUUGUGUGCUCUAGACCACGCCUUCCGCGUGGGCCCGUGUCCCCCGAAAACGGAUUGCCUAAAAUUUUUCCAGGCCGUCAAAUACGACCUAAGGAACCAUAUUCACCGCCCCGCCAUGGCCGUUCCUCGUUGUUUUGCGUUUUAUGGCCAAAAAACUAGACUUUUGCUUGAUUCCCAUAUUUUUCGUGUGCUAUAAGCCCACGCCUUCUGAGUGGGUCCGGGCCCCCGGACCCCGAUUACCUAAAAUUAUCGGGCCAUCAAAUACGACCUAAGGAACCAUAGUCACAAACCCGCCAUGAUCGUUCCUCAUUUUUUGAAUUUUUCGGCCAAAAAACUAGAAUUCGGCCCGAUUCCCAUAUUUUCGUAUGCUAUAGCCCACGCUUUCCAAGUGGUCCCGGGUCCCCCGGACCCCGAUCGCCUAAUAUUUUUCUGGGCUAUCAAAUACGACCUAAGGAACCAUAGUCACGUCCCCGCCACGGCCGUUCCUCGUUGUUUUGUGUUUUACUGCCAAAAAACUCGAAUUCAGCCCAAUUCCUAUAUAUUCGUGUGCUAUAGCCCACUCCUUCAGAGUGGGUCCAGGCCCCCCGUACCCUGAUCGCCAAAAAUUUAUUUGGGCCAUCCAAUAUGACCUAAGGAACCAUAGUCACCGCCCCGCCAUGACCGUUCCUCGUUUUGUUUUGCUUUUUACGACCAAAAAACUAGAAUUCCGCCCGAUCCCAUAUUUUCGUGCGCUCUAGCCCAUGCCUUCCGAGUGGGCCAGGGUCCCCCUAAACCGGAUUGCCUAAAAUUUUUCCAGGCGAUCAAAUACGACCUAAGGAACCAUAGUCACUGCCCCGCCAUGGCCGUUCCUCGUUGUUUUGCGUUUUACGACCAAAAAACUAGAAUUCUACCCGAUUCCCAUAUAUUCGUGUGCUAUAUAGCCUAUGCCUUCUGAGUGGGUCCGGACCCCCGGACCUCGAUCGCCUAAAAUUUUUCUGGGCUAUCAAAUACGACCUAAGGAACCAUAGCCACCGCCCCGCCAUGAGCGUUCCUCGUUUUUUUGCAGUUUAUUGCCAAAAAACUAGAAUUCCGCUCGAUUACCAUAUAUUCGUAUGCUAUAGACCACGCCUUCCGAGUGG
rnacentral:lncRNA from 1 species